rnacentral:lncRNA from 1 species
UCAUCUGAUCUGACCACAUGGAAAAGCUCUCUUUGUGUUGAUGAAGAAUUCUCCAUCUCAAACAAGAUAGACUGAUGUUAAACCCUGGGGGGCACGUCCUUGUUUGGUUUUCUUGCAAGAAAACUUUAUCGGAUGAUGAUGAAGUUGUUGAAAGUAACUUUCUAUGUAAUGCCAUAUGCAGCCAGUUUGUUGGCCUUUGUCUAUGAAUCCUUCAAAGACAGCCAUUGAUUCUGUACUUAAACCUGUUAAAGCUCGUAUUGUUGAAGUUCAAUUUCCU